GUACACAUGAUCAAAAAAGCAACCAACACGGCAGUCUGCUUCGCUACGCUUCUGCUGGAGUGAAUUCUUUCAACAGCAGCAGGGUUAAUUUGGUCACGUCUAUUUUGUGCUGGCAAAAUUUUAGUUCAGGAGAAGAAGACAUCUAAAGUUGCAGAAUGAGAACAAAGUUGGUCUUUCUACUCCUUUUGGGAGUUGUCUCAUCAGUAUUAUCUGGUGAAGAAACAGUUGCUGCAUCAUCUGGAGCACGCCUUCUAG